UACGUAGGGGGCAAGCGUUGUCCGGAAUCAUUGGGCGUAAAGAGCGUGUAGGCGGCUAUGUAAGUCGGGCGUGAAAUCCCACGGCUCAACCGUGGAAGUGCACCCGAAACUGCGUAGCUAGAGUCCUGGAGAGGAAGGUGGAAUGCUUGGUGUAGAGGUGAAAUUCGUAGAUAUCAAGCGGAACACCGGUGGCGAAGGCGGCCUUCUGGACAGUGACUGACGCUGAGACGCGAAAGCGUGGGGAGCAAACAGGG
rnacentral:rRNA from 1 species